rnacentral:rRNA from 1 species
UACGUAGGGGGCUAGCGUUGUCCGGAUUCAUUGGGCGUAAAGCGCGUGUAGGCGGCCAGGUAGGUCCGUUGUGAAAACCCGAGGCUUAACCUCGGGACGCCGACGGAAACCAUCUGGCUAGGGUCCGGAAGAGGAGAGUGGAAUUCCCGGUGUAGCGGUGAAAUGCGCAGAUAUCGGGAAGAACACCCGUGGCGAAGGCGGCUCUCUGGGACGGUACCGACGCUGAGACGCGAAAGCGUGGGGAGCGAACAGGG